CGACGACGACGACGAGCGACGACACAAGCAAAACGAUCUACUUUCCCACUCCUUCGGUUCUUUAAUAUUUUUCCCUACUCUCUCUCUCUCUCUCUCUCUCUCUCUCUCUCUCUUGUGUAGUACACACACUCGCGCCUACAGACACAUUCUCUUUUUUGCUAUCUUUACAUUUAUCACAUCUCCGUUCGUCUUGCUCUUCCUCUGUCACGUAUAUACUCCGACCUCUCUAACGCUCCAUCUCACUCGUCUUCGGAAGCAGUCGAUAAACCUCGUGAGUCUUCGUGUAAUCAAUUGUAUUUGUUUUUUCUUUCCCCUACAUUUUUUUUUUUCUGGAAAAACUUAAGGGAAAGUACUUCAUUAUUAACGAUAUUAACAGAGAGAUGUGAACGAAAUUGUCCACUUUCAGUUGAACACGAAAAUAAUGUGCUAACUGAACAUUCCUUUAAAAAUGUGUGCAAGUCUAUUUUCCGCAGCUUAGAAAGCAUUAGUGACAUCUACUGUCCUCUGUAGAAUUUCAAUACCUCGAACGAUAACAACAAACAGCUGUUUAUUGUUUUUUAUUACUGUAGGUGGUAGUUGUUUAGACUUAACGUUUGAUUAUCCAUACCUAUACUUUCAUAUUAUAAGAGAUAAGUUACACAUAUUUCACCACGUUAGAAAUUUCAAUUUUCUUAUUAAUAACACGACACGUAGUCAUUUAUACAUUUUUAGUCUGUAAUAAGAUGAAAGAAGUAUUGUUGUUUUGCAAUAAAAAUAUUUUAUAAAUAAAAUAAGGUAACCACAAUAGGAAUAAAUUAAAUAUAUUUAUUUUAAAUUCAUUUUUUGUUAUAAUAAUUCGGUUGUAUAAUGACUGAAAGAUCCAAACUAGAAAUCAAUAUAAAAAGAUUGUUAGGUCGAUGUGAAUUAAUGGCAAAAGAAGAUCAAAAUGCGGAUUCAAAUCUUGAAAUGUACAUUGAAGCUGCACAGGAUAUGAUAGAAGAACUUCAGUCAUCGCCAAUGUAUU